AGAGUUUGAUCCUGGCUCAGGAUGAACGCUGGCGGCGUGCUUAACACAUGCAAGUCGAACGAUGAUCCCAGCUUGCUGGGGGAUUAGUGGCGAACGGGUGAGUAACACGUGAGUAACCUGCCCUUGACUCUGGGAUAAGCCUGGGAAACUGGGUCUAAUACCGGAUACGACCAUUCCACGCAUGUGGUGGUGGUGGAAAGCUUUUGUGGUUUUGGAUGGACUCGCGGCCUAUCAGCUUGUUGGUGGGGUAAUGGCCUACCAAGGCGACGACGGGUAGCCGGCCUGAGAGGGUGACCGGCCACACUGGGACUGAGACACGGCCCAGACUCCUACGGGAGGCAGCAGUGGGGAAUAUUGCACAAUGGGCGCAAGCCUGAUGCAGCGACGCCGCGUGAGGGAUGACGGCCUUCGGGUUGUAAACCUCUUUCAGUAGGGAAGAAGCGUAAGUGACGGUACCUGCAGAAGAAGCGCCGGCUAACUACGUGCCAGCAGCCGCGGUAAUACGUAGGGCGCAAGCGUUAUCCGGAAUUAUUGGGCGUAAAGAGCUCGUAGGCGGUUUGUCGCGUCUGCUGUGAAAGACCGGGGCUCAACUCCGGUUCUGCAGUGGGUACGGGCAGACUAGAGUGCAGUAGGGGAGACUGGAAUUCCUGGUGUAGCGGUGAAAUGCGCAGAUAUCAGGAGGAACACCGAUGGCGAAGGCAGGUCUCUGGGCUGUAACUGACGCUGAGGAGCGAAAGCAUGGGGAGCGAACAGGAUUAGAUACCCUGGUAGUCC
rnacentral:rRNA from 1 species